UACGUAGGGUGCGAGCGUUGUCCGGAAUUAUUGGGAGUAAAGAGCUCGUAGGCGGUUUGUUGCGUCGGCCGUGAAAACCUGCAGCUUAACUGUGGGCCUGCGGUCGAUACGGGCAGACUUGAGUUCGGUAGGGGAGACUGGAAUUCCUGGUGUAGCGGUGAAAUGCGCAGAUAUCAGGAGGAACACCGGUGGCGAAGGCGGGUCUCUGGGCCGAUACUGACGCUGAGGAGCGAAAGCGUGGGGAGCGUACAGG
rnacentral:rRNA from 1 species